CUACGGGACGCUGCAGUGGGGAAUAUUGGACAAUGGGGGAAACCCUGAUCCAGCAAUGCCGCGUGUGUGAAGAAGGCCUGCGGGUUGUAAAGCACUUUCGGUUGGGAGGACUGCUUCUAGCACUAAUAUUGUUGGAAGUUGACGUUACCUUCAGAAGAAGCACCGGCUAACUCCGUGCCAGCAGCCGCGGUAAUACGGAGGGUGAAAGCGUUAAUCGGACUUACUGGGCGUAAAGCGCGCGUAGGCGGCUAGAUCAGUCGGGUGUGAAAGCCCCGGGCUUAACCUGGGAACUGCAUCCGAUACUGUCUAGCUUGAGUACAGGAGAGGAGAGUGGAAUUCCACAUGUAGCGGUGAAAUGCGUAGAUAUGUGGAGGAACACCAAUGGCGAAGGUAGCCCUCUGGCCUGAUACUGACGCUGAGGUGCGAAAGCGUGGGGAGCAAACAGGAUUAGAUACCCUAGUAGUC
rnacentral:rRNA from 1 species